CAAAUCUUAUGUGUUAGCCAACAUUAGGGCUUUUGAUACAAAAAAUCUUUCAGUAAAAAUGAACUUUAGAUCAUUAACUGCUUCAAGUUUAUUUAAAACCCUUUUAACUACCAAUCCGUUUAUGACUUUUCUGGUUUUAAAACAUUCACAUUUAAACUAAUGUUGUGCACUUUUUUGACAAGUAUUUACAUCACUUCAUCUUUUAACGGCCAUGUCAAGCCAGUUUAUGGUCCCCUCUUUUGUAAUUUGGCUACCAUCUUUCCUCUCUCUAUUAACGGAAGGUUGGUUUAGUUUUGAAGAAAAUGUUUUCAACUCUUACAGCUAUAUGUUUCAAGCUGAAGGGAAUCACAUUGAUAAAAUAGUAUUUAAGGUUAAGGAAGCUCUUACAACAACUUAAAUGCUUGCUUUGAAUGAUCCCUCCAGCUUGAACUUGGAAAAUGAAACUUUGGCUAGUGAGUAGGGGUCAAUGAAUCUAACCUAUACUAAAAGGGUUAUAUGAGCAUCAGAGAAGCUGUCCACGUCAGCAAUUAAAUCAGCCAAUAGGAUGAGUUCUUUUUGCCAUGUCAUUCGUUCAUUCACACAACACACGGACCUCUCCGUUUCGUCUUCCUCCCAUUACACCACUUCCGAUUCUCGUUCGCUUCCACAUCUAAGUCUCAUAAAGUUCAUUUGCUUAUCAUAAAGUCUCAUCUAGCAUCGAGCGAAUCAUCUUUCACGUUUCAAUCGAAUCCACGCGGUGUUUCUGGUUCAGCCUCGAGAUCGAACCGGAAACCGCCGUUGAAGAUUGAGCCGCCGAACAGAACCGAGUGGAUCCAAUUCGCAACCGCAAAUCCCCAGCCAGAGCAGCUACCCGUACAUGUGUCCGUGGAAGAGAAGAUGCAUUACAGAGGAGUGAGGAUGAGGCCGUGGGUGAAAUUCGCGGCGGAGAUCCAAGAUCCGAACCGUCGGGGAACUAGGGUUUCGCUCGGGACGUUUGACACGGAGAUCGAAGCCGCUAGGGGUUACGACCAAGCAGCGUUUAAACUUCGAGGGGCUAAGGCCAUUGUGAAUUUCCCGCUUGAGGUAGGGACGUGGAAUCAACACGCUGACGUUGGACAGAACAAACGGAAGCGAGACGGAGAGGAAGAACAAACUUUUACGACAACCCAUUGCACCGGAGAAACCGUUCUCUCCAACCACCACCUUUCCCCGCCGAUCUCGCCGACGUCCAUCGCUCAUCUCGCGAGAAAGCAAACAAUCGGAUCUUUACUUUCUUACUCAACCUAUAUUAAGAGGCUUGAGGUCCUUGCUUAUGAUGUGAAACCUAAAGAGGCUCCGGUUACAACGGCGGUACUGAAGGUGUGGACUUCCACCGUGAACGGUGUAUUGAGAAGAUUCAAAAGACUGUCUCUAAAGCCAAAGGUGUGAGUGGGUUUUCAAUAGAUCACGAGAAGCAGUUGGUGACGGUUAAAGGAACAAUGGACGUGAAAAAGCUCGUCAGGAGUUUGACUGAGAAGCUAAAACGUAGCGUGGAGAUUGUGGCGACGGCCAAGAAUGGUAACGCAAAAGAGAAACAGUACGUGGCGGCUCAGCCUGCUCACGGGUCUGCGUAUUUUCCGGGUGAGGAUGGAGAUACGAUUGAAUACUUAGCACCUCAGAUUUUCAGCGAUGAUAAUCCGAAUGCUUGCGUCGUUAUGUGAAGCGGCGGAAGAACAUUGACGGGCAUUACAUCAUCCAUUCACAGCUCCUAGGCCUGAAGAUAUGGAUGACUUACCUUCUGCACGAGCUCUUGCCUAUGACAUGGUCUAUAAUGGCGUCGAGAUUGGUGGAGGAAGUUUAAGGAUAUAUAAGCGGGAUGUCCAAGAAAAGGUUCUAGAGAUCAUUGGCAUCUCAGCUGAAGAGGCUGAAGCAAAGUUUGGCUAUCUUCUGGAGGCUCUUGACAUGGGUGCUCCUCCUCAUGGUGGAAUUGCUUAUGGAUUAGAUAGGAUGGUAAUGAUGCUGGCAGGUGCGAGUUCCAUAAGGGAUGUAAUAGCUUUCCCAAAGACAACCACUGCGCAAUGUGCACUAACCAGAACUCCCUCGGAAGUCGAUCCAAAGCAGCUCCAAGAUCUCUCCAUCCGCACCAACUAAUAGCGAUCUCAUCACAAGCAUCAUUUAUGUCUUUAAUGCUCUGAGAAGAGGAGUAAGUAGAGAUGUGGUAGUGACUAAGGUAUUGGUUUAGAGCAAAGGGAAAGCUUUCUGAUGACCAAGCCUUGCAUCGAUGUGUUGUGGCAUUUGCUUCGGAUUUGAUAUUUGCAAGUAUCAGUUUGAACCCUCACCGUAUAGCUGGUGAAUUCUUCUUAUAACAAAUUGCUGACAGAAUUCGGAACACACAUAAAAAGAAAAAGAGGACGUCCACUCGGAUCACGCAACAAACCAAAAAUCCACCAGAUAUGCAAUCCACCAGCGUUCAAACCAAAGUUUUAUGAUUAUGGUACUCCAAGAAGACUGUGUUGCUGAGUUGAACAAUUACAUAGACCCUCUCUACCGGAGAAUUUAGAUGGAAAACUUCUGAGUCGCAUUUUGGAGGUUGAUGGUAAGCUGAAUCCGAAAGUGCAAUACUGAAUCAGGCAUGGUCUUAAGAAAGCUGCUUAGCAGAGCAUACUUGAUGAUUUAAACAAGCAUGACCCAGGGUUCACACAGCCUUCUGUUUCAGGAGCAACGCCACAAGUGGUUCCAACCAACCUGCACUGCCGCUGGUAAUCACUAAUCCGGAAUGUAUCGAUUUUGUCCUUAUUAGAGGUCUUCUUCCAAAAUCACGUUUUAGGUUCAAGUUUGGUACCAUGCAAGCUGUUACUGGUCAGUAGGAAGACUUUGGACGCUAUAAUGUUGUUGAAGAGCUCGAGAUUCUGAAACGGUCGACCAUGAAUCCUUUGGUGUUGGGUGCCACAUCUGGCAGUGAUCUACUAUAUAACGCAGUACAGUGGUGUUAGGAAACUGGAGACUGUUACAGUGGCGGAGGUGAAUGCCUACGUUCUGAACUCACCCCUAAGAAGAUUUACUGAUCUAAAGGGGUCAGCCGGUCAGGAAAACCAACAAGAAAGGCCUGAAGAGCUUAGUUUUCUUCAUGAAGCACUGUCAUGAAACCACUCUAUCGUAACUCCCAGUGCUUAAUAUUAUUUCUAUAAAUUUUAUGCUAUGCAAAUAAGGGAUUGGGCACUUAGGUGUCUUUGUCUCACUUCUGAUUUUCAUACACCCUGAAUUUUUUGGCUUUUUAAAAUAUGAAUUACUUCUUAGUUUCCACAUAAAUCAAAUGUUCAGCCUUUGUUAUUUAUCUACUUA